UACAGAGGUCUCAAGCGUUGUUCGGAUUCAUUGGGCGUAAAGGGUGCGUAGGCGGUGAGGUAAGUUGGAUGUGAAUCCCAAGGCUUAACCUUGGAAGUGCAUCCAAAACUGCCUUGCUAGAGGACUGGAAGGGAGACUGGAAUUCUCGGUGUAGCGGUGAAAUGACGUAGAUAUCGAGAGGAACACCUGUGGCGAAGGCGGGUCUCUGGACAGUUCCUGACGCUGAGGCACGAAGGUCAGGGAGCAAACGGG
rnacentral:rRNA from 1 species